rnacentral:rRNA from 1 species
AGAGUUUGAUCCUGGCUCAGAACGAACGCUGGCGGCAGGCUUAACACAUGCAAGUCGAGCGCCCCGCAAGGGGAGCGGCAGACGGGUGAGUAACACGUGGGAACGUACCCUUUUCUACGGAAUAACCCAGGGAAACUUGGACUAAUACCGUAUGUGCCCUUCGGGGGAAAGAUUUAUCGGAAAAGGAUCGGCCCGCGUUGGAUUAGCUAGUUGGUGGGGUAAAGGCCUACCAAGGCGACGAUCCAUAGCUGGUCUGAGAGGAUGAUCAGCCACAUUGGGACUGAGACACGGCCCAAACUCCUACGGGAGGCAGCAGUGGGGAAUAUUGGACAAUGGGCGCAAGCCUGAUCCAGCCAUGCCGCGUGAGUGAUGAAGGCCUUAGGGUUGUAAAGCUCUUUCACCGGAGAAGAUAAUGACGGUAUCCGGAGAAGAAGCCCCGGCUAACUUCGUGCCAGCAGCCGCGGUAAUACGAAGGGGGCUAGCGUUGUUCGGAUUUACUGGGCGUAAAGCGCACGUAGGCGGAUCGAUCAGUCAGGGGUGAAAUCCCAGAG